GAAAGUCUGAACGUGUAGUCGCCGGAAGUACUGUAGCUUGCCGGAAAUUCUCGCCGGAAAAAUAAGGCACCUGUCCAAGAAAACAGAACACACCCACACACAUCCACAAAAGCAGAAGAGAGAAUAGGAAGAAAAGAGCUGGGGUCGCCGGAAAAAUCGCCGGUGAAAAGCAAGAAUUCAAAAAACCUAGAAAACUCGAAACGAAACAAGCUACAGAUAGCCAAAUAAAGGCUAAAUCGGACAGACUUGUGGGAUGAGAAUAAAGAGCGGAAAAUU
rnacentral:lncRNA from 1 species